UAGCAGCAACAGUAACAGCAGUAGUGACAGCAACCAGUCAUAGAGGAAGUCAGGGACCCUGAAUGGAGGGACUGGCUGGAGCCAUGGCAGAGGAACAUAAAUGUAACUACAUGAUAACAUCAAAAGCCAUAAGAUAGAGAAAGGAUAUUACCAAGAAACUUACCAUUAACUGGCUUGAUUCAACAAUGAAAACAAAAAUCGCCUUUUUUCUCCUUUCAUUAUGGCUUAAAGCUUUCAAUUGCACAAACAAAAUAAAUUAUAUGACAGGAAGUA
rnacentral:lncRNA from 1 species